rnacentral:rRNA from 1 species
GAUGAUUUUAGUGCUUGCACUAAAUGAAACUAGAUACAAGCGAGCGGCGGACGGGUGAGUAACACGUGGGUAACCUGCCCAAGAGACUGGGAUAACACCUGGAAACAGAUGCUAAUACCGGAUAACAACACUAGACGCAUGUCUAGAGUUUGAAAGAUGGUUCUGCUAUCACUCUUGGAUGGACCUGCGGUGCAUUAGCUAGUUGGUAAGGUAAUGGCUUACCAAGGCGAUGAUACAUAGCCGAGUUGAGAGACUGAUCGGCCACAUUGGGACUGAGACACGGCCCAAACUCCUACGGGAGGCAGCAGUAGGGAAUCUUCCACAAUGGACGAAAGUCUGAUGGAGCAACGCCGCGUGAGUGAAGAAGGGUUUCGGCUCGUAAAGCUCUGUUGGUAGUGAAGAAAGAUAGAGGUAGUAACUGGCCUUUAUUUGACGGUAAUUACUUAGAAAGUCACGGCUAACUACGUGCCAGCAGCCGCGGUAAUACGUAGGUGGCAAGCGUUGUCCGGAUUUAUUGGGCGUAAAGCGAGUGCAGGCGGUUCAAUAAGUCUGAUGUGAAAGCCUUCGGCUCAACCGGAGAAUUGCAUCAGAAACUGUUGAACUUGAGUGCAGAAGAGGAGAGUGGAACUCCAUGCGUAGCGGUGGAAUGCGUAGAUAUAUGGAAGAACACCAGUGGCGAAGGCGGCUCUCU